ensembl:lncRNA
GAAUCCCUUAGAAGAGAAACGUGUAACGAAAUAUAGUGUUCAUCAAAUUUCCAUGAUAUCAGUGUUAAGAUGUGCAUUUAAUAAAACAUGCAGUGAACAACUCUGUUCCACACGUCGUUGGCAGCCAUGAAAGCAGUGGAGCUUCCCCAUGUACUGUACUAAAUCUUAAUUUAACCCCCGAGACUUACAGACAUAGAUCUUUUAAAAUAGACUGCAUUCUGAAAGCUUAUUUUUAAGUAUGCAUAAAUAACAUUUUCGUAUGCAUACUUAAGAUUCUAGUAGGUUUUUUGUUGUUGUUGUUAGUAUGCAUACUUAAGAUUCUAGUAGUUUUUUGGAUUCUAGUAUUUUAUUUUUUUGUAAGUAUGCAUACUUAAAAUUCUAGUAGUUUUUGUUAGUAUGCAUACUUAAGAUUCUAGUGGAGUUUUUUUUUGGAUUCUAGUAUUUUUUUGUUAGUAUGCAUACUUAAGAUUCUAGUAGUUUUUUUGGAUUCUAGUAGUUUUUUUUGUAAGUAUGCAUACUUAAGAUUCUAGUGGGUUUUUUUUGUUAGUAUGCAUGCUUAAAAUUCUAGUAGUUUUUUGUUAGUAUGCAUACUUAAAAUUCUAGUAGUUUUUUUGUUAGUAUGCAUACUUAAGAUUCUAGUGGGUUUUUUUGUUAGUAUGCAUACUUAAGAUUCUAGUGGGUUUUUUUUGUUAGUAUGCAUGCUUAAAAUUCUAGUAGUUUUUUUGGAUUCUAGUAGUUUUUUUGUAAGUAUGCAUACUUAAGAUUCUAGUAGUUUUUUUUGUUAGUAUGCAUACUUAAGAUUCUAGUAGUUUUUUUUGUUAGUAUGCAUACUUAAAAUUCUAGUAGUUUUUUUGUUAGUAUGCAUACUUAAGAUUCUAGUGGGGUUUUUUUUGUUAGUAUGCAUACUUAAGAUUCUAGUGGGGUUUUUUUUUUGGAUUCUAGUAGUUUUUUGUAAGUAUGCAUACUUAAGAUUCUAGUAGUUUUUUUUGGAUUCUAGUAGUGCAUACUUAAGAUUCUAGUAGGUUUUUUUGGAUUCUAGUA